UCGCCCGCUUUGGCACUAGCACAUUUUUGCUUCUGUUUGUAGCCUUUGAGCAAUUAUGUGUAGUGCCAAUAUGGGAGA
rnacentral:pre_miRNA from 1 species